GAUGAACGCUGGCGGCGUGCCUAACACAUGCAAGUCGAGCGAACAGACGAGGAGUUUGUUCCUCUGACGUUAGCGGCGGACGGGUGAGUAACACGUGGAUAACCUACCUAUAAGACUGGGAUAACUUCGGGAAACCGGAGCCAAUACCGGAUAAUAUAUUGAACCGCAUGGUUCAAUAGUGAAAGACGGUUUUGCUGUCACUUAUAGAUGGAUCCGCGCCGCAUUAGCUAGUUGGUGAGGUAACGGCUUACUAAGGCAACGAUGCGUAGCCGACCUGAGAGGGUGAUCGUCGACACUGGAACUGGGACACGGUCCAGACUCCUACGGGAGGCAGCAGUAGGGGAUCUUCCGCAAUGGGCGAGAGCCUGACGGAGCAGCGGCGCGUGAGUGAUGGAGAUCUUCGGAUCGUAGUUCUCUGUUAUUAGGGAAGAACAGGUGUGUAAGUGGCUAUACACGUCUUGACGGUACCUGAUCAAGAAGCCCCGGCUAACUACGUG
rnacentral:rRNA from 1 species